rnacentral:lncRNA from 1 species
UUUUCCUUCCUAUACAGUGGACAUCCACUCACUACAGCAGGUGAACAGGAGCAAAGAUCAACUCAGGCUUUGAAGAAGCAAGCUACCAUGUUGUGAACCGCCUAUGGGGAAUACCACAGGAAAAGAAAUUGAGGUGGCCUCCCAGGUGAC